AAUAGUUUGUACCUUGGGGAAGUUUUAACCUAAGCUGGUAAAAAGUAAGCUUAGGAGGUUUUCAUGCAGGUCCCCACAUCUGUACCCUAGAGUUCAGAGUGGGGAAGAAACCUUGACAAGACCAAAGACUGAUUUUGGACCUGCAGCCUCCUCCGCAAGUGCCAGAGGUAAAGACGUUUGUAGAUGAAUUAGUGCUGCUUUUAGCUUGUUGCAUCUCACAUGUCUCUCCUUGAUUGAAGAAAUCCACAAGCUCUCAAAAUCUUCCAGUCUGAGGUGGCAGGGCUGCUGCUGUCAAAUCUUGUCAUGGGCUAAGAUCUCCCAGGUGCUGAGGUCAACGUUGCAAGAUUGGAGAUGAGACUGCCAAAAAAAGAUUCAAAGAAAGGAGACGGAUCCUUGUGCAAUAAUAAUUUCUUAUAUCUACAGUGACUUCCAUCCGAUGCUCUCAAGUGCUUUACGCCCACUACUUAAGUCUGAGACAUUGGCUUUGAACUUCCAGAUGCUACUUCUGUGUGGAGCGAACAUGGAGUCUUUGUUCAACUUACUUGAUUAAUUAGCAUUUACAUUUCUCUGGGGUUUUUAACCAGAAAUAGCAGGUAUGUUUCACUUCCUGCCUGGUUAGCCAUCCCUAUAUUUCUUUUCUGCACUAGCUUUCACAAGAUUUUUUCCUAAAGUGCUGAGCUGCCCCCUAGUGGGCUUCAGGUAAAUAUAAUUUCUUAUGGCCACUGUGACCAGUAAUGUGUGAGCUUUCCUUCAAAAGGGAAGGAGAGUAGCCCCAAUUUGUCUUCAAGUAUGUUCGUUUAAGACCAGCUGCUGUGAAGUCAUCUUCCCAUCAAGCUUGUAGCUGGUAACAAGGUUUUCACACAGUGACCUUUAAGCGUAUGGCUGGUCAGUGUGUAA